AGAACACCUGAGUGUGGGGUUGAAGACUGUAGAGAGUGAAGCCCUCCAUAUUCUGCACCCAGUGACCAGCCUAUAUUCUCUCUGGCCCCAUUCAUCAGUUCCUGUCCAUCCUGCCAGUAACAGGAAACAUCUAUACCUGGAAAUCACAAAAGAAGACCAAGGACAUUGAACUUGGAAAAUUUAACUAAAGAAACCCUACCAUUAAUUGCAAAAAAGACCCAAAUUUUUGUAUCAACACCACUAUGUGUGUUGCAGUAUUUUAAAAAGUGUGCAAUUUCAGUGUCCUGUUCAGUAUCACAUUUAAAUGGGUGCAGGACCUGAAGCUAGAGAAUGCGCUCCAUACUCUCCGUGUCUGCAGGAGAAGCAGAGACUGUUCUGCCAAAGGGGGUCUACUUUACUGAGGGACCACUAUGUGCACAGGGGAAUACUUUGCCACUGUUUGCACUGUACUGUUGCAAAUUCAGAGACAAAAUGUAGAUGUAUAUAAUUUCUCAGAGCCGUGCUACCUACCAUUGGAUUUUGAAGAGACUCGCUAAUGGCCAUCAAAUGAAUUUACAUUGUUAAAUGUCUGUAAAAACCAUGGGUGUGAGGAGACACACUGAUCUACAUCACUAUACUGGGUACACCCCUUUAGUUUAUGUCCUGCAUUGAACAACGCACGCUCCACAUCUGUAUGGUUAAAGACUCAUCAUUUGUAAUUUGCCAAAAUGUUACAUUGUUGUGAUAUUGUAUUAUUCUAAUAUUCUAAGUAUGGUGUGAAACAUAUUAUAUCAUCCUUAAACAGCUAUUUCCUGAUGUGGACUGUAAACGUCUUUAGCCCGCAGUGGGUUAACCAUCUCUAGUUCAUAUUUUGUUAAUUGCGCUAUCCUGUUGACAUGUACAGGUAGCCCAAGGUACUUUCGUUCCCUCAGCGAAGCCUGGAAGGCAAAACUAGAAAACUUAAUAGCGACAGAUUAGCGAACUGGUUAGCUCAGUAACAUAGAUAAAGAUAGAUUUCAUAAAAAUACAUUCAAUAAAAACUGCCUGCAAAGACAUUUUUAAUUUGAUGUAUUAGAAAUACGUUCUGUGGUUGGCUGAGCUGAACCUGCUUCCUUUCAGGCAUGCUUGAGGAGAGGAAAGUACCACGGGCAUACAGCUAUGCCUGAUUUCAAAGUGUUUCUGCCCAUCUGUACAGAAGUAUUAUGUAAAAAGCUGGACUUACAUAGAGUAUAUUGAAAACUGAAAUAAAUUGCAUUAUAAAAUAUAUGCACCAUAAUUUGAUAUACAGUAUAAACAUGGCAGGUAGUUGUACUGUUUGUUUUAUUUUAUAAUUUUGCCAUAUGUGAAAUGACAUAGUCCUUAUUUUUUGAAUUUGUACUGUACAUUUUGCUGUAUAUUUGCAUAUGUGACUUUUUCAUAAGGGUCAGGAAUUUAUCUGCCACCAUGUGCUAGACCCCCUUGUGUUGCAAUAAAACUACUCCUCUGAA